rnacentral:rRNA from 1 species
UACGUAGGUGGCAAGCGUUGUCCGGAAUUAUUGGGCGUAAAGCGCGCGCAGGCGGUCCUUUAAGUCUGAUGUGAAAGCCCACGGCUCAACCGUGGAGGGUCAUUGGAAACUGGGGAGCUUGAGUGCAGAAGAGGAGAGUGGAAUUCCACGUGUAGCGGUGAAAUGCGUAGAGAUGUGGAGGAACACCAGUGGCGAAAGCGGCUCUCUGGUCUGGUAACUGACGCUGAGGCGCGAAAGCGUGGGGAGCAAAC